CUCCAGACUCCUACGGGAGGCAGCAGUGGGGAAUAUUGCACAAUGGGGGAAACCCUGAUGCAGCGACGCCGCGUGAGUGAAGAAGUAAUUCGUUAUGUAAAGCUCUAUCAGCAGGGAAGAAGAUGACGGUACCUGACCAAGAAGCCCCGGCUAACUACGUGCCAGCAGCCGCGGUAAUACGUAGGGGGCAAGCGUUAUCCGGAUUUACUGGGUGUAAAGGGAGCGCAGACGGCAGUGCAAGUCUGGAGUGAAAGCCCGGGGCCCAACCCCGGAACUGCUCUGGAAACUGUGCGGCUAGAGUGCUGGAGGGGCAGGCGGAAUUCCUAGUGUAGCGGUGAAAUGCGUAGAUAUUAGGAGGAACACCAGUGGCGAAGGCGGCCUGCUGGACAGUAACUGACGUUGAGGCUCGAAAGCGUGGGGAGCAAACAGGAUUAGAUACCCGAGUA
rnacentral:rRNA from 1 species